CUUACCAGUGAUUUAUAAAGAGGCAAAAUGAUAUUCUCGUCCCGAGAAUGAAUGCCCUUUUUCAUGCAUGACAAUACCUUACUGGCCUUGGCCACUGCUGAUUGACAUUGCACAUUGUUGCAUAGUUUGUUGUCUAUAACAAUUCCCAAGUCCUUUUCAUGUGUUGUUAUCUCUAAUUCGCUUCCAUUAAGGGUAUAUGUUGCUUGUGUAUUCUUUACGCCGAAGUGCAUAACUUUGCAUUUUUCAACAUUAAAUUUCAU